rfam:Heterocephalus glaber contig151269, whole genome shotgun sequence.
GUUUAGGGCCAUACCAUCCUAGACACACCUGAUCUCAUCUGAUCUCAGAAACAAAGCAGGAUUGGGACUAGUUAAUACUAAAUGGGAGAAACCAAGAUGUAAAUAGUAAGUAUACUAGUUGCUACUGUCC